CCCUUAGAUGUUCUGGGCGGCCCGCGCACUACACUGGCACUCUCAAUCAGAGCCUGGAUCUAACACUUUGGGGUAUUCUAUGAAGUGGUGUCGUGACUGGGAUUAACCCUUGCAAUUAUUGGUUACGAACGAGGAAUUCCUUGUAAUCGCGGUUUAUCAGCCCGCGUUGAAUGCGUCCCUGCCCUUUGUACACACCGCCCGUCGCUCCUACCGAUGGGUGAUCCGGUGAAUGAUUCGGACUUCAGCGGCUCCCCUGGGGUGCGCCGGAGAAAGUUUUGUGAACCUUAUCACUUGGAGGAAGGAGAAGUCGUAACA
rnacentral:rRNA from 1 species